rnacentral:rRNA from 1 species
AACGAACGCUGGCGGCAGGCUUAACACAUGCAAGUCGAGCGCCCCGCAAGGGGAGCGGCAGACGGGUGAGUAACGCGUGGGAAUCUACCCAUCCCUACGGGAUAACACAGAGAAAUUUGUGCUAAUACCGUAUACGUCCUUCGGGAGAAAGAUUUAUCGGGGAUGGAUGAGCCCGCGUCGGAUUAGCUAGUUGGUGGGGUAAUGGCCUACCAAGGCGACGAUCCGUAGCUGGUCUGAGAGGAUGACCAGCCACAUUGGGACUGAGACACGGCCCAAACUCCUACGGGAGGCAGCAGUGGGGAAUAUUGGACAAUGGGCGCAAGCCUGAUCCAGCCAUGCCGCGUGAGUGAUGAAGGCCCUAGGGUUGUAAAGCUCUUUCACCGGUGAAGAUAAUGACGGUAACCGGAGAAGAAGCCCCGGCUAACUUCGUGCCAGCCGCCGCCGUAACAC